rnacentral:lncRNA from 1 species
GGAAAGGGAACAAGAGACAGAGACUUAUGCUAGCAUCCUGCUUCCUGAAUGAUACACAGCUUAGAUGCUGUUGGAAUCUCUUUCCCACAAGAAGUAUGGAUAAUUCCAGACCGUAUGACUUUAAGAAGCAAGUGUGCUGUGAGUAUUGCAAGUUCUUUAUACAAAUUGCUUUGGAACCUCC